rnacentral:rRNA from 1 species
AGUGAACGCUGGCGGUAGGCCUAACACAUGCAAGUCGAACGGCAGCACAGUAAGAGCUUGCUCUUACGGGUGGCGAGUGGCGGACGGGUGAGGAAUACAUCGGAAUCUACUUUUUCGUGGGGGAUAACGUAGGGAAACUUACGCUAAUACCGCAUACGACAUACGGGGGUAAGCAGGGGAACUUCGGACCUUGCGCGAUUGUAUGAGCCGAUGUCGGCUUAGCUAGUUGGCGGGGUAAAGGCCCACCAAGGCGACGAUCGGUAGCUGGUCUGAGAGGAUGAUCAGCCACACUGGAACUGAGACACGGUCCAGACUCCUACGGGAGGCAGCAGUGGGGAAUAUUGGACAAUGGGCGAAAGCCUGAUCCAGCCAUACCGCGUGGGUGAAGAAGGCCUUCGGGUUGUAAAGCCCUUUUGUUGGGAAAGAAAAGCAGCAGGUUAAUACCCCGCUGUUCUGACGGUACCCAAAGAAUAAGCACCGGCUAACUUCGUG